UAAUCUAUAAAAGCUAUAUAGAGCGGUC
rnacentral:sRNA from 1 species